AGAACUUAGCAGAGAUGCUUUGGUGCCUUCGGGGAACUCUGAGACAGGUGCUGCAUGGCUGUCGUCAGCUCGUGUUGUGAAAUGUUGGGUUAAGUCCCGCAACGAGCGCAACCCUUAUCCUUUGUUGCCAGCGGGUUAUGCCGGGAACUCAAAGGAGACUGCCAGUGAUAAACUGGAGGAAGGUGGGGAUGACGUCAAGUCAUCAUGGCCCUUACGAGUAGGGCUACACACGUGCUACAAUGGCGCAUACAAAGAGAAGCGACCUCGCGAGAGCAAGCGGACCUCAUAAAGUGCGUCGUAGUCCGGAUUGGAGUCUGCAACUCGACUCCAUGAAGUCGGAAUCGCUAGUAAUCGUAGAUCAGAAUGCUACGGUGAAUACGUUCCCGGGCCUUGUACACACCGCCCGUCACACCAUGGGAGUGGGUUGCAAAAGAAGUAGGUAGCUUAACCUUCGGGAGGGCGCUUACCACUUUGUGAUUCAUGACUGGGGUGAAGUCGUAACAAGGUAAGCGUAGUGCU
rnacentral:rRNA from 1 species